rnacentral:tRNA from 1 species
GGAGGGGUACCCAAGCGGCCAAAGGGGGCGGACUGUAAAUCCGCUGGCAUUCGCCUUCGUGGGUUCGAAUCCUACCCCCUCCA